GUCAACCAAACAACAUGGCUUCCUUGAUUGAAGCGUGACUCAAUACGAUGUCUUUUCAUCAGUACAUAUCAUGACUUCAUCACUAAUGUUCUACUAAGAACAUGCAUUUGAUACAGCAAUCAACGGUAGCGAAGGCAAGCUAGUAGUUGUAGACUUCUUUGCCGACUGGUGUGGACCAUGCAAGAUGAUUGCACCUAAAAUUGAGGCAUUUUCUAACGAGUUUACAAAUGUUGUAUUCCUGAAGGUUGACGUGGAUGAGUUAGAGGAUGUUGCUCAAGAUCAAAAUAUAACUGCAAUGCCAACAUUCCAAUUUUUCAAAAAUGGAACAAAGGUUUGU